rnacentral:tRNA from 1 species
GCCCGGGUGGUGGAAUGGCAGACACGUCGGUCUUAGAAGCCGAUGCCGCAAGGCGUGAAGGUUCGAGUCCUUUCCCGGGCA